AUGUAUCGCGCCAAGAGAGCUGCAUUGUCACCAAAGGUGAAGCGCCGUGUCGGCAAGUAUGAGCUCGGCCGCACCAUCGGGGAAGGGACCUUUGCAAAGGUCAGGUUCGCAAAGAACACUGAAACCAUGGAGCCUGUUGCUAUCAAAAUCCUCGACAAGGAGAAGGUUCAGAAGCUCAGAUUGGUUGAACAGAUUAGGCGCGAAAUUUGUACUAUGAAGUUAAUAAAGCAUCCUAAUGUUGUUCGACUGCACGAGGUGAUGGGAAGUAAAGCAAGAAUUUUCAUUGUUCUGGAAUACAUUACUGGAGGGGAACUCUUUGAUACCAUUGUAAGUUAUACCAAUGGAAGGCUGAAAGAAGAGGAAGCACGCAAAUACUUUCAACAGCUGAUAAACGCCGUUGACUAUUGCCACAGUAGGGGUGUGUAUCACAGAGAUUUGAAGUUAGAAAAUUUGUUGCUUGAUGCUGCUGGAAACCUCAAAGUGUCCGACUUCGGUUUAAGUGCUUUAACUGAGCAAGUGAAGGCUGACGGGUUGCUGCACACAACAUGCGGAACUCCGAACUAUGUUGCUCCUGAGGUGAUUGAGGAUAGAGGUUAUGAUGGUGCAGCUGCAGAUAUCUGGUCUUGCGGGGUAAUCCUUUUUAUUCUCCUUGCCGGGUUUUUACCUUUCGAGGAUGAAAACAUCAUCGCCCUUUAUAAAAAGAUCUCAGAAGCUCAAUUCACAUGCCCCUCUUGGUUUUCUACUGGAGCUAAGAAGUUGAUUACCAGAAUUUUGGACCCUAAUCCUGCAACUCGUAUCACCAUUCCUCAGAUACUGGAGGAUCCUUGGUUCAAAAAGGGAUUCAAGCCACCUGUUUUUGACGACAAGUAUGAAACUAGCUUCGAAGAUGUCUAUGCUGCAUUUGGAGACUCAGAGGACCAGCAUGUGAAAGAGGAGACUGAACAUAAGCCAACCUCAAUGAAUGCAUUUGAACUGAUUUCACUGAAUCAGGGAUUGAAUCUGGACAAUUUGUUCGAGGCAAAGGAGGAGCAUAAAAGAGAGACACGAUUCACGUCGCAAUGCCCUCCAAAAGAAAUCAUCAGCAAGAUUGCGGAAGCUGCAAGGCCACUUGGAUUUGACAUUCAGAAGAAAAACUACAAGAUGCGGAUGGAGAACCCGAAAGCAGGUAGAAAAGGCAAUCUCAAUGUUGCAACCGAGGUGUUUCAAGUAGCUCCAUCCCUACAUGUGGUUGAGCUGAAAAAGGCGAAGGGGGAUACUCUGGAAUUUCAAAUGUUCUACAGAUCUCUCUCGACCCAGCUCAAGGAUGUAGUUUGGAAGUGCGGCGGCGAGGUAGAAGAUAACAGCACCGCGGCAUGA
rnacentral:rRNA from 1 species